rnacentral:rRNA from 1 species
UACGUAGGGUGCGAGCGUUGUCCGGAAUUAUUGGGCGUAAAGGGCUCGUAGGCGGUUUGUCGCGUCGGGAGUGAAAAUCCAGGGCUUAACUCUGGACUGGCUUCCGAUACGGGCAGACUAGAGGUAUGCAGGGGAGAACGGAAUUCCUGGUGUGGCGGUGAAAUGCGCAGAUAUCAGGAGGAACACCGGUGGCGAAGGCGGUUCUCUGGGCAUUACCUGACGCUGAGGAGCGAAAGUGUGGGGAGCGAACAGG